AUUGAGUUUGAUCCUGGCUCAGAUUGAACGCUGGCGGAAUGCUUUACACAUGCAAGUCGAACGGCAGCACGGGAGCUUGCUCCUGGUGGCGAGUGGCGAACGGGUGAGUAAUGCGUCGGAACGUGCCGAGUAAUGGGGGAUAACGCAGCGAAAGUUGUGCUAAUACCGCAUACGCCCUGAGGGGGAAAGCGGGGGAUCGUAGGACCUCGCGUUAUUCGAGCGGCCGACGUCUGAUUAGCUAGUUGGUGGGGUAAUGGCCCACCAAGGCGACGAUCAGUAGCGGGUCUGAGAGGAUGAUCCGCCACACUGGGACUGAGACACGGCCCAGACUCCUACGGGAGGCAGCAGUGGGGAAUUUUGGACAAUGGGGGCAACCCUGAUCCAGCCAUUCCGCGUGAGUGAAGAAGGCCUUCGGGUUGUAAAGCUCUUUCAGCUGGAACGAAACGGUGCGCUCUAACAUAGCGCGCUAAUGACGGUACCAGCAGAAGAAGCACCGGCUAACUACGUGCCAGCAGCCGCGGUAAUACGUAGGGUGCGAGCGUUAAUCGGAAUUACUGGGCGUAAAGCGUGCGCAGGCGGAUUGUUAAGCAAGAUGUGAAAUCCCCGGGCUUAACCUGGGAAUGGCAUUUUGAACUGGCAGUCUAGAGUGCGUCAGAGGGGGGUGGAAUUCCACGUGUAGCAGUGAAAUGCGUAGAGAUGUGGAGGAACACCGAUGGCGAAGGCAGCCCCCUGGGAUGACACUGACGCUCAUGUACGAAAG
rnacentral:rRNA from 1 species